rnacentral:rRNA from 1 species
AUUGAACGCUGGCGGCAGGCUUAACACAUGCAAGUCGAGCGAGCGGCGGACGGGUGAGUAAUGUCUGGGAAACUGCCUGAUGGAGGGGGAUAACUACUGGAAACGGUAGCUAAUACCGCAUACCAUCAGAUGUGCCCAGAUGGGAUUAGCUAGUAGGUGGGGUAAUGGCUCACCUAGGCGACGAUCCCUAGCUGGUCUGAGCGGAUGACCGGCCAAACUGGAACUGAGACACGGUCCAACUUCCUACGGAGGGAAGCGGGGGGGAUAAUGGAACAAUGGGCGCAAGCCUGAUGCAGCCAUGCCGCGUGUGUAAAGAGGGCCUUCGGGUUGUAAAGCACUUUCAGCGAGGAGGCGUUACUCGCAGAGGAAGCACCGGCUAACUCCGUGCCAGCAGCCGCGGUAAUC